rnacentral:rRNA from 1 species
UACGUAGGGGGCUAGCGUUGUCCGGAUUUAUUGGGCGUAAAGAGCGUGUAGGCGGCCAGGUAGGUCUGCUGUGAAAACUCGAGGCUCAACCUCGAGACGUCGGCGGAAACCAUCUGGCUAGAGUCCGGAAGAGGAGAGUGGAAUUCCUGGUGUAGCGGUGAAAUGCGCAGAUAUCAGGAAGAACACCCGUAGCGAAGGCGGCACUCUGGGCCGAUACUGACACUGAGGUGCGAAAGCGUGGGUAGCAAACAGG